CCAAUACUACACUUUUAACUCAUGAAUUUAUCUAGUACUUCAAAUUCUGGUCUAUGGCGUUAAAACGAUCAGCGCUGGUCUUCUUGGACAAUACUUUGUCUUCAGUACAAGUAUUCCAUCUGGUUUCACGGAAGUUCGAAGAGCCCUCUUCUGCAACAACUCCCAACCAACCAACCCCUGCGAAGCCUGCACGCAAACCAGGCAAGAAUUCGCGUCAGCAAAAAGCUGAGAACUUUCGUAUAAAGAAGAAUCAGGAGUUUGAUAAACAACUCAGAACUAAACAAGAGACCUGGGCUGCACAGUUCAAAGUUACAGCAGAUGAAAUAUUUCAAGUAAAUAAUACUAUCCAACUGUACAUUAAUUUAAAUAGAUAAUUAAAUACAUUUUAAAUAUUUACAACAUUUAUAAUACUCCUAUGCAUAUUUCAACAACAAUUAUUGUACACAUUAUAAAUUAAUUGUCAUUUUAAGGUUAUAUCUAUAUAAAAAAAUAAGUAAUUAUACUAUUAUUUAGUAUUUGUCAUGGUCUUGUUUUGGGAUCAACUAGUGUAUUGAAAAAUUCGCAAAUGAAUAUGUAAACCGCUACAAAUUAUCUAAUACACAUUUUGAAACUGGAAGACUCAUUUAUUGAUAACUACAAUUAAUAAUCCUAUAAAAUGCCUUCUAAUAUAAUAAUCACCCAGUAAGUCUUUUGAGACUCAGAAUCCAUUAAAUACAUAAGAAAUGAAAUUUUUCACAUAAAGUAUCACAGAAUUUUCAUUUCAACUGCACCAGCAUCAUUCAGCAAAGUAUAAAGACUAUGGUCAUGGUAACUUUAAUCGGUAAGCAAAAAUUAUAAUACGCGUGAAAAAUAAUAUAAUUGUUUAAUAAAAGUCACGUAUAAAAAAAACUUAUGAACUACAUUUUUUCAUACUUUGAGGCUUGAACUUACAAACUUUUAUAAAUGCAAUAAAUAAAUACAGCAGAUUCAAAAAUUCCAACAUUUAAAUAAAUAUUAUUGAUCGAUAAAUAAUACAUCAGCUUAUUUUUUAACAAUAAUGAUAUUAAAAGAUGGUCUAACAAAAGCAAAAAUUAGUAAGAGAUGAUUAUAUCUAUCAAUUCUAUAAAAACUGUAUUAGUAAUACAAUAAAUCUAACGAUUAGUUAAAAUUAGAGAGAAUUUGUACUAAUAAUUAGUGCUCACAGAUUCUUUUGAAACUUUAACUAAAUAUUAAAUAUCUUUAAAGCAUACUCUUCCCCCAUCAUCCUGGUCUGCCUAUUCUCCCUGGUAUAGUCUGCGAGAUCAGUUUCAUUUCAGCAUUUUGCCAUCGUCAGUGGUUUUUCUGACAAAACCAGUGAUAAUAUACCAGGAUGAUCAGAGGUGUUCUUGAGGUUUGUCACCUUGUCAACAUCACAAUUAAGUUUUGUAUUACAACUUUUUAUAGCCUUGAUUAAUAUAUUACUAUUAAUGUAAUCACAGUCAGUAAAGCGAGACAAAUUAAUUUGCUUUCGUUGGACUAUCCUUUCAUCACAUUUUCACAUUUUAAAUAUAGUUUUACCAACCAAUUUAUUUUUAUUUAUACUAAAGGUAAAACGUAGUCUCCCAAAUCAACACUUAAACUUCACUGCCUCAUUAAGUCCAAAGCGUUUAAGAUACACUUAUUUAAGUAAAACAGUUUGUAAUUUUAAGCAACUUUUAUUAUAAAAAACAAGUCUCAUGUGUAAUUAAAAUUAUUUUCAAAUGUGAUUUUAUUAAAUUUAAAUUAUAAACAUUACCAAAUAAAGAAUACUUUUGAAAGAUUUCAAGACGACUGGAUAAUUUGAAUCAACAAAUUUUGGCUUUAUAGCUCCACAACUGUAAAAUACUUUUGUACUCGGUACAAAAAUAAAUUUCACAUGGAAGACUUCCAGCUUUAUAAGUACUAACAUUUAACAAGUACUAUAGAUCAUUCUUAAUAAAUAUUUUGGUAAUUUGUUAUCGGAAUGAAAUUAUAAUUUAUAAUACCAGGACUUUGCCCAGUGACUAUUUGAACUUACACUCAAAUACAAGCAGAAUGUAGAAUAAUUUGUUUUCAAGUUAAAAUUAGAUUUAAUUAUUGUAAUUAAUUAAGCUUAAACUUCAAAUUAGACAGAUUAAAAAUUUGCCAGUCAUAUUUAAUAGUAUAAUUAACUUUCAAAUUGCACUAAUUUACAAUAUAGAUAUUAACACUGUAUUGUACAUGUGUACUUUUAUUUUAAAAUAUUGGCAUGAAUUAGCCUUGCACAAAUGUGCUUAAUACUGAUGAACAUUAUUUGAAUUUUUUAUCUAAUUAAUUUACUAAUUAUUUUUAAAAUUUUAUUAUAAAAAUUAUUAUUAGAAGUUGUACAACAGUCGGAGCCUGGAUUUAGUUAUUUUAUAUUUUUAUACUCGUAUAUUGUAUGUAUGCUCUAUGUAUUGUCUUUUUAUUAUCAAAAAACAAAAUAAAUUCUAUAUUCUGCUUAUUUGAACACAUUUACACUUUCAAUUUUAAGUAAUAACUAUGUAAUAAAAAAAUUACAAAUCAGAAUAAUUUAAAAAUAAUAUUAAAAAAUUCUUUGUUGAAGAAAAAAAGCCAAA